UCUACCUUAUCAGUAAGCGGUCCAAAUAGAGUGCCCAACUUAAUGGUAGCAACUAUUUGUGGGGGUUGCGCUCGUUGCGGGACUUAACCCAACAUCUCACGACACGAGCUGACGACAGCCAUGCAACACCUGUCACUGCGUCUCCGAAGAGAACUCUAAGUUUCCCUAGAUAGCACAGGAUGUCAAGCCUAGGUAAGGUUUUUCGCGUUGCAUCGAAUUAAAGAACAUCAUCCACCGCUUGUGCGGGUCCCCGUCAAUUUCUUUGAGUUUUAAUCUUGCGAUCGUACUACCCAGGCGGAAUACUUAACGCGUUAGCUACGACACUGAGGCAGUAGGUCCCCAACAUCUAGUAUUCAACGUUUACGGUGUGGACUAC
rnacentral:misc_RNA from 1 species